GAUGAAGAACGUAGCGAAAUGCGAUAAGUAAUGUGAAUUGCAGAAUUCAGUGAAUCAUCGAAUCUUUGAACGCACAUUGCGCCCCUUGGUAUUCCGAGGGGCAUGCCUGUUCGAGCGUCAUUAUAACCCCUCAAGCUCAGCUUGGUGUUGGGGCCUGCUGCACUGGCGGCCCUUAAAAUCAGUGGCGGCGCCAUCUGGCUCUAAGCGUAGUAAUUCUUCUCGCUAUGGAGUCCUGGUGGAUGCUUGCCAUCAACCCCCAAUUUUUCUAUGGUUGACCUCGGAUCAGGUAGGGAUACCCGCUGAACUUAAGCAUAUCAAUAAGCGGAGGA
rnacentral:misc_RNA from 1 species